rnacentral:rRNA from 1 species
UAGCUAGUUGGUGAGGUAAAGGCUUACCAAGGCGACGAUCUGUAGCGGGUCUGAGAGGAUGAUCCGCCACACUGGAACUGAGACACGGUCCAGACUCCUACGGGAGGCAGCAGUGGGGAAUUUUGGACAAUGGGGGCAACCCUGAUCCAGCCAUGCCGCGUGAGUGAAGAAGGCCUUCGGGUUGUAAAGCUCUUUCGGCCGGGAAGAAAUCGCAUGGGCCAAUACCCUGUGUGGAUGACGGUACCGGAAUAAGAAUCACCGGCUAACUACGUGCCAGCAGCCGCGGUAAUACGUAGGGUGCGAGCGUUAAUCGGAAUUACUGGGCGUAAAGCGUGCGCAGGCGGUUUUGUAAGACAGGCGUGAAAUCCCCGGGCUUAACCUGGGAACUGCGUUUGUGACUGCAAGGCUAGAGUACGGCAGAGGGGGGUGGAAUUCCACGUGUAGCAGUGAAAUGCGUAGAGAUGUGGAGGAACACCAAUGGCGAAGGCAGCCCCCUGGGUCGAUACUGACGCUCAUGCACGAAAGCGUGGGUAGCAAACAGGAUUAGAUACCCUGGUAGUCCACGCCCUAAACUAUGUCAACUAGGUGUUGGGUGGGUAAAACCAUUUAGUACCGUAGCUAACGCGUGAAGUUGACCGCCUGGGGAGUACGGCCGCAAGGUUAAAACUCAAAGGAAUUGACGGGGACCCGCACAAGCGGUGGAUGAUGUGGAUUAAUUCGAUGCAACGCGAAAAACCUUACCUACCCUUGACAUGCCAGGAACUUGCCAGAGAUGGCUUGGUGCCCGAAAGGGAGCCUGGACACAGGUGCUGCAUGGCUGUCUUCAGCUCGUGUCGUGAGAUGUUGGGUUAAGUCCCGCAACGAGCGCAACCCUUGUCGUUAAUUGCCAUCAUUUAGUUGGGCACUUUAACGAGACUGCCGGUGACAAACCGGAGGAAGGUGGGGAUGACGUCAAGUCCUCAUGGCCCUUAUGGGUAGGGCUUCACACGUCAUACAAUGGUCGGUACAAAGGGUUGCCAAGCCGCGAGGCGGAGCCAAUCCCAGAAAGCCGAUCGUAGUCCGGAUUGCAGGCUGCAACUCGCCUGCAUGAAGUCGGAAUCGCUAGUAAUCGUGGAUCAGCAUGUCACGGUGAAUACGUUCCCGGGUCUUGUACACACCGCCCGUCACACCAUGGGAGCGGGUUCCGCCAGAAGUAGGUAGCCUAACCGCAAGGGGGGCGCUUACCACGGCGGGGUUCGUGACUGGGGUGAAGUCGAAACAAGGUAGCCGUAGGGGAACCUGCGGCUG